AUUGAACGCUGGCGGCAGGCCUAACACAUGCAAGUCGAGCGGAUGAAGGGAGGUUGCUCCUGGAUUCAGCGGCGGACGGGGGAGUAAUGCCUAGGAAUCUGCCUGGUAGUGGGGGAUAACGUCCGGAGACGGGCGCUAAUACCGCAUACGUCCUGAGGGAGAAAGUGGGGGAUCUUCGGACCUCACGCUAUCAGAUGAGCCUAGGUCGGAUUGGCUAGUUGGUGGGGUAAAGGCCUACCAAGGCGACGAUCCGUAACUGGUCUGAGAGGAUGAUCAGUCACACUGGAACUGAGACACGGUCCAGACUCCUACGGGAGGCAGCAGUGGGGAAUAUUGGACAAUGGGCGAAAGCCUGAUCCAGCCAUGCCGCGUGUGUGAAGAAGGUCUUCGGAUUGUAAAGCACUUUAAGUUGGGAGGAAGGGCAGUAAGUUAAUACCUUGCUGUUUUGACGUUACCAACAGAAUAAGCACCGGCUAACUUCGUG
rnacentral:rRNA from 1 species